rnacentral:piRNA from 1 species
UGCUAGGNGUUUUUCAGGUUUACCUUGC